rnacentral:lncRNA from 10 species
CUCUGAUUGGCCAGACUUCGACCACCCGCUCACCCUUGGAGUCUUCAGAAUGACACGGUCUGGGGUGUUCUUACUGGUAGAAGAGGGAGUGGCUUCUGGGCAGACAAAAACAGCAGUGCCCAUUCAGUGUGGUCACAAGGUUUACACACUUCUUGUGGAGAAGGAGCAGGAGAGGGACCACCACCAAGAGGUUAAGCCUGAGUUUGGUCUUCUGUUACUUGGAACUGAAAUAAUGUGCAUUGACACACCUAACAAGUCAAAGUAUUGUCUUUUGCUGGUCUGCUCUGGUCCUGGAAACAUCCACUGAUAGAAUCACUGGUCUGGGACAAAUUGUGGUACCCAAAGACCUCAGGAAGCACUUAGAAGCAUUACUCCUGAAGUCCCAUUCGUCCCAAGAAGAGUUGCUGGCUGGAGGAGACAAUAUGUAAACAUGUCAUGACAAGAUGGUGUGCCAUCAAGUCUGAGAUAAUCUGUUAUGGCAACGUAAGAAGCUAAUACAAGAUGCAGGAGUGAAGCAGCGAGGUCUGGAAAAAAGCUAUUGCAAAAAUACAGUCUCAGCAAGGGGAUAGAAGGAGCCCUGCAUUCUCUCCUGACACGCUUGACAAAAACAAACCCAACUAGAGGUCGCCAGCAACGGAGGGGCAUCCUGUGUAAGGACUUGGAAGAGGAGUUGUAUUGUCACCCCCUGGCCACUAGAGGACUUCAUCCUAUUUCAGUGGAGGAAGGCCUGUUAGGGGCCUCUCUAUACUGGUGGAGGUUUGGUCGUCUUCCCUUCACUUGAUUUCUGCCAGUGGCCUUAUGUGAGGAUGCUUCAUGAGAUGUCAAGUAUCCGAGGAGUCUGUGACACAACCAUCCAGUGGUGAAUUGCUAAGGAGCUCCUCUCCAGCCUGCUUGACUCUGAGGUUAAAAGAGUCUUCAUGUUGAGCACAAGUCAUCUCUUUGCACUUUCACCAGUUGUGUCCAUCUGAAAAACACAGAGGUCUGUCUCACUUCUGCAUCACAGUCCCUUCCAAGAAGCUCCACAAUGGGUAAGGCACAAUAAAAUGGCUUAUAUUCAACAAACACAUAACACUCUUCCUGUACUAGACACCAUGCCAAGGGCUUUACAAUUGCUAACUUACUUGAUCCUCAGAGUCACCUUAUGAGACAGGUGGAUGGGAUAUUGCCCCUUUUACAGAUGGGUAAACUGAGGUACAGAAUAGUUACAGAUCUUGCUGAGAGCUAUGCACCUAUUAAGUGGUUGGGCUGGGAUUUGAACUCAGGCAAUCAAG